rnacentral:rRNA from 1 species
GAUGAACGCUGGCGGCGUGCUUAACACAUGCAAGUCGAGGGGCAGCGAGGGUAGCAAUACCUGUCGGCGACCGGCGGAAGGGUGAGUAACGCGUGAGCAACAUACCCGUAUCAGUGGGAUAAUACAGGGAAACUUGUUCUAAUAUCGCAUAAUAUUAUUCAGAGGCAUCUUUGGAUAAUUAAAGUUACGGCGGAUACGGAAUGGCUCGCGUGACAUUAGCUAGAUGGUAGGGUAAUGGCCUACCAUGGCGAUGAUGUCUAGGGGUUCUGAGAGGGAGGUCCCCCACACUGGAACUGAGACACGGUCCAGACUCCUACGGGAGGCAGCAGUGAGGAAUAUUGGACAAUGGAUGGAAAUCUGAUCCAGCCAUGCCGCGUGCAGGAAGGCGGCCCUAUGGGUU